rnacentral:ncRNA from 2 species
CAUUGCAUGUUCCGCCAGGGUGCGCCGCUAACACGGCGUGAAACGGGAAGUCGGUGCGCCCAUCCGGGCAACCCCGACGCUGCCCCCGCAACGGUAAUCGACGGCAGGCCGCAAGCCUGCACCUUGUCCACGGCCACUGGGUAUUCCCGGGAAGGCGGACCGGGGUCGUGAGCCCGGAGACCGGCCCCGGCGGUGCGACUGGU